GGCUCGGUGGUGGAGGGUCCACACCUACAACUUAUAAUCGGGUAUUACGUUUGAGUAUCUAGGAGGAGCUCGUUCGACUCGGGCCCGAGCCA